UUUAAGAGAGUAAAAUAUUGACAAAAACUGCAUUAAGUUUUCAACUCUUGUUUUGUUUUUCAUUAAAAAUUUGCUACCAUUAUGUAUAAUUCAUUUUUUUUAAUGUAAAUGUUUUUAAGUAUUUGUAGGAUAAAGGCAAAUUACACUUAUUCAUUCUUUCUUUGAUAUAAUACAUGUAGCUCUUUACCUGAAAUCAAUGUUUGUCAAAUUAUUGUGCAUAAAUUAGAAGUAUGCAUGUUUCUCUUAAGUCAGUUAUGUUUCAGGAACUAUCUUUAAUGAAUUGUAUAGAAAAUUGUGGACGAGGUGUUAGGUGUACAGGAACGUGGUAUAUUAUAAACAUGUAUAGUAUCUCAUAGUAUAUAAACUCAUAACUUUGAUUAUGCAGUAUGCUUUGUAUAUUAUUUCUGAAAGCAUGUAUAUUUCAAUCAAGAUUGUUGAGUAAACUUUUCUUGCUUUAUGCUAUCUCUGAAAGCAUGUAUAUUUCAGUCAAGAUUGUUGAGUAAAUUGUGCUUAUUUUAUGCUUUUUUCUUUUUUACAUUAGAAAAUUCCACACCUUUAUCACGAGGAAAUCUGCAAUGGCAUUUAGGAAUGACAAAUAGAAGCUCAACUAUUCGAAGCAGGAGACCGAAGAGAAAAAAGGAAGAGAGAUGAUAUUACAGCUGCAGAAAAGGAAAUAAUUGAAACGCAGAAGAAUAUAUUAAUGUACUGUGUGAAAUAUGUGACUUGUAUAAGCAAUCAGUUGCAAAUCAGUCUGCUGUCAUAGAAAAUCAAAAUAUAAUUAUUAAUUUAUUAAAAAAAUAAAUCAUGCAUUUCAAAUAUUA